UGUAACAAGCCAACGAUGAGUAUUCUACUCUCUAGGGCAGGAGUUCCCAACCUCUGGGCCAUGGACAGGUAGCAGUCUGUGGCCUGUUAGGAACAAGGCCGCACAGCAGGAGCAGCAUACAUCAUGAUGGCCAAAACCGGAAGCAAACCACAUGCCAUUCAACUGGAGAAGAAAUAAACAAGCUGUGGCAUAUCCAUACGAUGGAAUACAGGGCAGCAAGAAGAAAGAGCACAUGACUACUAUACACGGCUACAGGGAGGAGUCUUGCACGCACAUUGUUGAAUGAAGGAAGCCAGAUAUAAAAGACA